rnacentral:rRNA from 1 species
GUGCCUAACACAUGCAAGUCGAACGAGAAAGUGGAGCAAUCCAUGAGUAAAGUGGCGACCGGGUGAGUAACACGUGACUAACCUACCUUUUAGUGGGGGAUAACCCCGGGAAACCGGGGCUAAUACCGCAUAACAUCGCAAGAUCAAAGCAGCAAUGCGCUGGAAGAGGGGGUCGCGGCUGAUUAGCUAGUUGGCGGGGUAACGGCCCACCAAGGCGAAGAUCGGUAUCCGGCCUGAGAGGGCGCACGGACACACUGGAACUGAAACACGGUCCAG